UUUGUGACUUAGUGGCGGACGGGUGAGUAACGCGUGGGUAACCUGCCUCACACAGGGGGAUAACAGUUGGAAACGACCGCUAAUACCGCAUAACCCGCUAGGGCCGCAUGGCCCGGACGGAAAAGAUUUAUCGGUGUGAGAUGGACCCGCGUUGGAUUAGCUAGUUGGCAGGGUAACGGCCUACCAAGGCGACGAUCCAUAGCCGGCCUGAGAGGGUGAACGGCCACAUUGGGACUGAGACACGGCCCAA
rnacentral:rRNA from 1 species